rnacentral:rRNA from 1 species
AGUGAACGCUGGCGGUAGGCCUAACACAUGCAAGUCGAACGGCAGCACAGUAAGAGCUUGCUCUUACGGGUGGCGAGUGGCGGACGGGUGAGGAAUACAUCGGAAUCUACUUUUUCGUGGGGGAUAACGUAGGGAAACUUACGCUAAUACCGCAUACGACCUACGGGUGAAAGCAGGGGAUCUUCGGACCUUGCGCGAUUGAAUGAGCCGGUGUCGGAUUAGCUAGUUGGCGGGGUAAAGGCCCACCAAGGCGACGCUCCGUAGCUGGUCUGAGAGGAUGAUCAGCCACACUGGAACUGAGACACGGUCCAGACUCCUACGGGAGGCAGCAGUGGGAAAUAUUGGACAAGGGGCGCAAGCCUGAUCCAGCCAUACCGCGUGGGUGAAGAAGGCCUUCGGGUUGUAAAGCCCUUUUGUUGGGAAAGAAAAGCAGCAGGUUAAUACCCCGCUGUUCUGACGGUACCCAAAGAAUAAGCACCGGCUAACUUCGU